rnacentral:rRNA from 1 species
UACGGAGGGGGCUAGCGUUGUUCGGAAUUACUGGGCGUAAAGCGUACGUAGGCGGCUUUGUAAGUUAGAGGUGAAAGCCUGAUGCUCAACAUCAGAAUUGCCUUUAAGACUGCAUCGCUUGAAUUGUGGAGAGGUAAGUGGAAUUCCGAGUGUAGAGGUGAAAUUCGUAGAUAUUCGGAAGAACACCAGUGGCGAAGGCGACUUACUGGACACAUAUUGACGCUGAGGUGCGAAAGCGUGGGGAUCAAACAGG